UACGUAGGUGGCAAGCGUUGUCCGGAUUUACUGGGCGUAAAGGGCGUGCAGGCGGUCUGUUAAGUCUAGGGUGAAAGCUCCCGGCUCAACUGGGAGAGGUCCUUGGAUACUGGCGGACUUGAGGGAGGCAGAGGAAAGUGGAAUUCCCGGUGUAGUGGUGAUAUGCGUAGAUAUCGGGAGGAACACCAGUGGCGAAGGCGGCUCACUGGACCGGUACUGACGCUGAGGUGCGAAAGCGUGGGGAGCAAACAGG
rnacentral:rRNA from 1 species